CGCCUCUUGCUCCAAAAAUAUAAGAGGUCCCGCCUGCCCUGUGACUAUAAGUUUAACGGCCGCGGUAUUUUAACCGUGCGAAGGUAGCGUAAUCACUUGUCUUUUAAAUGAAGACCUGUAUGAAUGGCAUCACGAGGGCUUAGCUGUCUCCCAUCUCCAGUCAAUGAAAUUGACCUCCCCGUGCAGAGGCGGGGAUAAUUACAUAAGACGAGAAGACCCUAUGGAGCUUUAGACCUAAAGUAAGUCACGUUUAACAUGCUGUGAUAACAGUAAAAACUUAGUGAUAUUUACUGAAGUGUCUUUGGUUGGGGCGACCGCGGGGUAAAACACAACCCCCAUGUGGACCGGGGAUAUUAUCCCUAAUACUCAGAGCCUCUACUCCAAGUAACAGAAAUUCUGACUUUUCUGAUCCGGUAUAACCGAUCAACGAACCGAGUUACCCUAGGGAUAACAGCGCAAUCCCCUCUCAGAGCCCAUAUCGACGAGGGGGUUUACGACCUCGAUGUUGGAUCAGGACAUCCUAAUGGUGCAGCCGCUAUUAAGGGUUCGUUUGUUCAACGAUUAAAGUCCU
rnacentral:rRNA from 1 species